CCUACGGGAGGCUGCAGUGGGGAAUAUUGCGCAAUGGGCGAAAGCCUGACGCAGCGACGCCGCGUGAGGGAUGAAGGUCUUCUGAUCGUAAACCUCUGUCAGCAGGGAAGAACGGUCACUGUGCUAAUCAGCAUUGAAUUGACGGUAUCUGCAAAGGAAGCAUCGGCUAACUCCGUGCCAGCAGCCGCGGUAAUACGGAGGGUGCUAGCGUUAAUCGGAAUUACUGGGCGUAAAGCGCUCGUAGGCGGUAUGUCAAGUCAAGGGUGAAAUCCCCGGGCUCAACGUGUGAACUGCCUUUGAAACUGGCAAACGUGAGUGUGUGAGAGGAUAGUGGAAUUCGAGGUGUAGGAGUGAAAU
rnacentral:rRNA from 1 species